rnacentral:rRNA from 1 species
GACGAACGCUGGCGGCGUGCUUAACACAUGCAAGUCGAACGGAAAGGCCCUGCGUUUGUUGCGUUCUCGAUUGGCGAACAGGUGAGUAACACGCGAGUAACCUGCCCUUAACUUUGUGAUAACUUCAGGAAACUGGGGCGAAUAUCGGAUAUAAUCUCCUGAUCCAUGUGGUGGAUUGGAAAGUUUCGGCGUUGUGGGAUGGACUCGCGGCUUAUCAGCUUGUUUGUGGGGUAGGUGCUUACCAAGGGUUUGACGGGUAGCCGGCCUGAGAGCGUGACCGGCGACAUGGGGACUGAGAGAGGGACCAGAAUCGUAUGGGAGGCAGUAGUGGGAAAUCUUGCACAACGGGCGGAAGCGAGAUGUAGAAAUGCUGCGUGCGGGAUACCGGCUUUUGGGUUGUAAACAGAUUUCGAAUGUGCUGAAGAGUGAGUGACGGUAAUGGGUAAAGAAGCAACGGCUAACUACGUG